AUUGAACGCUGGCGGCAUGCCUAACACAUGCAAGUCGAGCGGGAGAAUCGGGCUUGCUCCUGGAUGCAGCGGUGGAGGGGUGAGUAAUGCCUAUGAAUCUGCCUGGUCUUGCGGGAUAACGUCCGAAAACGGGCGCUAGUAUCGCAUCCGUCCUGUUGUCGCCAUUGGGUGAGCUUGGGACGUCAUGCUAUCAUAGUAGCCUAGGUCGGAUUAGUUAGUUGGUUGGGUAAAGGCCUAGCAAGGCGACGAUCCUUAACUGGUCUGAGAGGAUGAUCAGUCACCCUGGAAGUGAGGCACGGCCCAGACUCUGACGGUAGGCAGCAGUGGGGAAUCUUGGACAAUGGGGGAGAGCCGGAUCCAGGAAUGCCGGCGGUGUGAAGAAGGUCUUCGGAUUGUAAAGUACUUUAGGUUGGGGGGAAGGGAAGUAAGUUAACACGUUGCUGUAUUGACGUUACCAACAGAAUAAGCACCGGCUAACUUCGUG
rnacentral:rRNA from 1 species